GAGGAAUAUUGGGCAAUGCCCGCAAGGGUGACCCAGCAACGCCGCGUGGAGGAUGAAUGUCGUAAGAUUGUAAACUCCUGUUAGAGGGGAAGAAUAGUACCGGUUGGACCGGUAUAUGACUGUACCCUUAGAGAAAGCCCCGGCUAACUACGUGCCAGCAGCCGCGGUAAUACGUAGGGGGCAAGCGUUGUCCGGAUUUACUGGGUGUAAAGGGUGCGCAGGCGGAUGGGUAAGUCAGGGGUGAAAGUCUGCAGCUUAACUGUAGAAUUGCCUUUGAUACUGCUCAUCUUGAGUGUGGGAGAGGUUGAUGGAAUUCCAGGUGUAGCAGUGAAAUGCGUAGAUAUCUGGAAGAACACCAGUGGCGAAGGCGGUCAACUGGCCCAUAACUGACGCUCAUGCACGAAAGC
rnacentral:rRNA from 1 species